rnacentral:rRNA from 1 species
AGUGAACGCUGGCGGUAGGCCUAACACAUGCAAGUCGAACGGCAGCACAGGAGAGCUUGCUCUCUGGGUGGCGAGUGGCGGACGGGUGAGGAAUACAUCGGAAUCUACUCUGUCGUGGGGGAUAACGUAGGGAAACUUACGCUAAUACCGCAUACGACCUACGGGUGAAAGCAGGGGACCUUCGGGCCUUGCGCGAUUGAAUGAGCCGAUGUCGGAUUAGCUAGUUGGCGGGGUAAAGGCCCACCAAGGCGACGAUCCGUAGCUGGUCUGAGAGGAUCAUCCGCCCCAAUGGAAGUGAGCCACGGGCCAGACUCCUACGGGGCGCAGCAGGGGGGAAUAUUGGACAAUGGGCGCAAGCCGUAUCCAGCCAUACCGCGUGGGUGAAUAAGGCCUUCGGGUUGUAAAGCCCUUUUGUUGGGAAAGAAAUCCAGCUGGCUAAUACCCGGUGGGGAUGACGGUACCCAAAGAAUAAGCACCGGCUAACUUCGUGCCAGCCGCCGCCGUAA